rnacentral:misc_RNA from 1 species
CGGUCGCUGUCAAUCCCCCACCUACUGCCGACGCGACAUCUCUCCCUCCCUUUCUCAUCGCCGGUCCUCUCGCGCGCCCUCACCUACUGCCGUCCGCUCGUCCCGCCAUUGCCAUGACCCAUGUUAUAACACCCCCCAUUCCCACCCCUCAUUCUCCCACGCCACCACCAAACGCCUCUCUCUCUCUCUCUCUCUCUCUCUCUCUCUCUCUCUCUCUCUCUCUCUCUCUCUCUCUCUCUCGGCCGCCGGCCCUCCGUCGCAUUCAACACGUACGCCAUGGCGCGCCUGCUCCGCGCCGCCGCCGUCCUGGCGCUCCUGGCCGUCUCCACCGCCGCGCUGUCGGCGCCGGCGUGGGCGGGCGGCGUGUCCGCCGGCGACCUGGCCCAUCUGGGCGCCGCCGUCGUGAUUCGGCGCGGCGGCGGGCGGGCGUGCCGCGGCGGUACGACGGUGGGCGAGUGCAUGGAGUACCUGGACGUGGACGCCGAGGGCGAGGCCGACGUCGCCGGCAUGGCCACGGGCGGCAGCAAGCGCCGGGUGCUGCAGGGCGGCUCCGGCUACAUCGGCUACGACGCGCUGCGCCGGGACAACGUGCCCUGCUCGCAGCGCGGCGCGUCCUACUACAACUGCCAGCCCGGCGCCGAGGCCAACCCCUACUCCCGCGGCUGCAGCGCCAUCACCCAGUGCAGGGGCUGAUCGAUGCAUGCAUGGUUUCACAUUCCAUUCUCCGGCAGCAGGGUAAAUCGGUUGCUGCUAGCUUCAUUCAUGCAUGUGUGUGGUGCUUGAUUUUCUUUUUUGGGGUCUUUAAUUGUCGUCCGUCGAUUAUUGUGGUGCAGUGGAGAUGUGUCUGUGCUGUUGCUAGCAUCCUUUUCAGGAUGAAUCUAAAAGUAAUAAUAAUAAUUAUAUAUGAUGAUCCUGUAAUAAUUCUGGUGUCGAUGAUAUUCACAGCCAACGUAUAAUUUGCAGUGCCUGCCUUUCAUUUCAU